rnacentral:rRNA from 1 species
AGAGUUUGAUCAUGGCUCAGGACGAACGCUGGCGGCGUGCCUAAUACAUGCAAGUCGAGCGAACUGAUGGGAGCUUGCUCCCUGAAGUUAGCGGCGGACGGGUGAGUAACACGUGGGCAACCUGCCUGUAAGACUGGGAUAACUUCGGGAAACCGGGGCUAAUACCGGAUAACUCUUUUCUCUGCAUGGAGAAAAGCUAAAAGGUGGCGCAAGCUACCACUUACAGAUGGGCCCGCGGCGCAUUAGCUAGUUGGUAAGGUAAUGGCUUACCAAGGCGACGAUGCGUAGCCGACCUGAGAGGGUGAUCGGCCACACUGGGACUGAGACACGGCCCAGACUCCUACGGGAGGCAGCAGUAGGGAAUCUUCCGCAAUGGACGCAAGUCUGACGGAGCAACGCCGCGUGAGCGAAGAAGGUCUUCGGAUCGUAAAGCUCUGUUGUUAGGGAAGAACAAGUACCGUUCGAAUAGGGCGGUACCUUGACGGUACCUAACCAGAAAGCCACGGCUAACUACGUGCCAGCAGCCGCGGUAAU